CUGGGCUACACCCGGGAAGGCAGGAUGGAGCCUCUAAGAGUCACCCAAACGUUUCAGCCCCAGGCCUGCUGGCCCUGGCUGGUGGGCCUUCCCGCCUCACAGCUGCCCUCCCCCGAAGACACCGCAAAGGUGUGAAAAAGUCCAGCAUGAACUCAGACAGGACACAGACCAGGACCAGAGCCUCAUGUAGACAGAGCUGCUGCAGAAGGAGCAAUGAGCAUGCCUGCACCCUUGAGAGACCUGAGGAGGAUGAAGGAAAAUACGGACAACUUGAAUCCAUGACAGUCUUCAGUCUAGGAUCAAGGCCUCCUCACAAAAGCCAUCUCCUUGUAGCUGAGAACUCAACAGACUGUCUGGAAUCAGUUGCGGCAUCACAGUCCUGUAACACCAGAACUCCCAGGCAGAGAUGGAUGUCUGCAAGUGCCAAGUGGCUUGGUCUACACAGUGUGAAAAAGUCCAGCAUGAACUCAGACAGGCCACAGACCAGGACCAGAGCCUCCUGUAGAUCAAGCUGCUGCAGAAGGAGCAAUGAGCAUGCCUGCACCCUUGAGAGACCUGAGGAGGAUGAAGGAAAAUACGGACAACUUGAAUCCAUGACAGUCUUCAGUCUAGGAUCAAGGCCUCCUCACAAAAGCCAUCUCCUUGUAGAUGAGAACUCAACGGGCAGCCACUUGACCGUCAACAACAACAACAACAACAACAACAACAAUAAUAAAGACUGUGGAUGUUGCUGCUGAUCUUGUGCACUGUGGAUUCAGAUGCUGAGUUCUGUACCCCAAGAUCAAGUUGCAGUCUGGACAUGGGUGUGCUGUCCCAGUCCUGUAACCUCAUAAUGCACAAGCAAGUUCCAGGCACUUUGGCCUACACCGUGAGUUCUCAGCCAGGGAUGUCAGUGCUCUGCAGCCGGGGAUGUCAGUGCUCCGCAGCCGGGGAUGUCAGUGCUCCGCAGCCGGGGAUGUCAGUGCUCCGCAGCCGGGGAUGUCAGUGCUCCGCAGCCGGGGAUGUCAGUGCUCUGCAGCCGGGGAUGUCAGUGCUCCGCAGCCAAGGAUGUCAGUGCUCCGCAGCCGGGGAUGUCAGUGCUCCGCAGCCAGGGAUGUCAGUGUGCCACAGGGGAUGGGGUCCUGGAAGUACAUAGCACCACCGGCUCUGUGGAUGCCCACUUCAUGGUGGGAACACUUUCUAUAUUGCAUCCUUGAGGUCAUAUGUUUAGCUGCCACUAUAAUACAGUCCUGUUUGCAGAUGCCUGUGAAUGAUCAUGCAGACCAAAUUAAUGAGAAACACAACCUUACUGCCGUAACAAUUUAGGAAAUGAAACCAUUCAAAAUAAAUCACAAAACCCAGAGCCUUCUGCCUCCAGUUUUCUAGAAAAUAGCACCAGUGAUAACCACACUGCACAGAUAAUGACCUCCAAGACAGGCUGGGUCAUAUUUUUGUUGUGGUGGUCGUGGUGGUGGUAGUUGUGGUUUUUGAUGUUGUUGGCCUUGACUAUGCAUUUGGUGCCAUCAACCCUUUUUUUUCAUCCAAGUUUUAUUUUUUUCAUUUCUAUGUACAGGUAUUUUGUCUACUGGAUACAUGUGCACCACGUGCAUGCAGUUCCAUCAGGGACCAGAAGAGGGCAACAGAUUCCAUGUGGACUGAGUUACAGAGGACUGUUAGCUGCUCCUUGGGUCCUCUGGGAGAAAAACAAAUCUUCUGAAGGGAUGAGCCAUCUCUCCAGUCCCUACACUUGACUUUGUCCUUAUAGCUGUGUGUGCCCAUUAGUUAGACUGAAUCCCCCACAAGAGAGAGAAGUGUUUGGAGACCUAGAAGGACGAGUGCAUGAGGUAAGCAUACUGGUUGUCUUAGGCUGCCAAGUACCCAUAUAGGGCAUUUGUGUGUUCAAGAUCUAAGUAGGAUCAUGGCUGCGGCAACCUCUGGAGGACGAUGUGGGAAUCACAGCCCUAGCACCCUGUGUGAAAUUUGCCCAUGGUCCCAAAGUUCUGCAGCUUCUAGUCAAAGGUUAGUGUCAACGGAGGAAGUCCUAGGAGGUAUCUGGAAACUGUGGUCCGGGCCCUCAUCACUAGCUUCAGGAGGACCUGUAUCUUUCUUACGUAUUUAUUUGUGUGUGAUGCUGGGCCCUGAACCCAGAGCUCCACCCACGCUAGGUCAACUUCCUAUCACUAACCAGGUGCCCAGCCCAAGAACUGGGUUUAUAUAUGUGGAUGCAGAUAUACAUGGCUUGCAUUUCUUUAUUUUUCUUUCCCUCUUUCACACAUCUAUAUAUACAUAUAUUACUAAUGACUGAAAAGAAAUGCCACACUAUGUCCCCUCUCCCUCUUAUUUGGACCCCUUUCUCCCUCUACAUUGUCACUUUUCUGCUUUCACAUCUCAUAUGCACUUCUAUACACCUAUCUAUAUACAUAAUAUAUAUAUGUAUAUAUAUGCACACACAUACACAUGGAGAUAUAUAUAUAUAUUUUGAAUUUAUUUAUGGAAGAUUACUCACUUCUGUGAUUAGCGUGUAUGUGGAGGUCAGAAGACAACUUGUAGGAGUUGGUUCUCUCCUUCCACUUUGCAGGUCCCAAGGGUAGAACUCAGGAGGUCAGGCUUAGCUACAAGCACCUUUACCUGCUGAGCCAUUUCACAGGCCCCAUAUUAAAUUUAGAUUCCAGAAAACAAACAGUAGCAAGUGCUGGUGGUACAGGGAAAGCGGGACUCUUAUCCACUGUUGGCAGAAAUAGAAGCUAGUGCCACUGUUUUGAAAAUCAAUGUAGAGGCUUUUCAAAAACUAAAAAUACAGCAUGACCCAGCUAUACCAAACUCUUUGGCAUAUACACAUUCAUGUAAUAAACAGUAAGUUGCUCUUUCUGCUGUCAUUCCUGGGAUAUCCACCGGCAAGACAGCAAUAUCCAUGUGCUAGUAAAGGGGACAGAGACAAAUCACUUCAGAGACAGUUUCAGAGGACAGCACUUACUGUAUUGCAUGUGAGCAACCUCUUAUAUAGUGGAAACCUGUGAUUGGUUAGCACAUUACCUCGGAUUGAAUACUGAGUGUUCAUACCGCCACUCUAGGCAGAAGAGGCUCAUUAAAGCAGACUUGGAGAGCAUCGCAGAGUCCUCAGCAGGCCAGCUGCUUCAAGAUUCUAUAUGCUGCCUUCAGGAACAUGGUGCGCCAUGCUUAUUUAGAAGCCCAGGGUGCUAGGUAGGCUGGUCACCAGGUCACGCCAGCAUUCUCUCCAACACUUUUCACAGGAACAAGGAAAAAGAGUUGAUCUGCUUGCCCAUCAAUAAAUGGAUAAUGAAAAUGUGGUGCACACACAGUAGAAUUAUAUUCAGCUGGGAAAGAAAGUAAAAUUUGCAAAAUAAAAAAGGAACUAAUAAACACU
ensembl:lincRNA 4933413J09Rik RIKEN cDNA 4933413J09 gene